UGAACGGAUCUGUGUUGCAAAUGCUUCUUUUAACAGGUACCUGUCUUACUUGUCGAAGUUUACCGGAGACUUUUGAUGGUGCUGGAGCAUGGUGACUCUAGCAUGACAGGGUCGGGGUUACCGCGACGUAGUUUUGUUCACUAACAGGGAUUCAAUGAGAUUGUCGUAGGUGAUACGAGGGAUGAGUUAUUAAUCAUUGUGUGCAUAUGCAUAGGUAUAGUGUUUGAGGACGAUUGAUGGUCUAUCUGUUCGGUGUAGCUCGGUUGUUGUAGGCUGUCAAGAUGGUAUUGGAGGGAUAAGAAAAGCAAAAGUCCUGAACGUUUCGUUCGUCGGUUGAUUGAGUCACUAACAUUUUACUUUGUCAUGAUGGCUUGAUUCCUCAUGGGUUUUCUUGUAAUGCUUUUACUUGGCUAUUCUAAUGGAACUUCAUUUUCAUUUCGUGAUCUCUCCAGCUGCUUUACUCAGUUGGAAUCUGAUAUCUCUGGUUGAUUUGUCGGCUUUUCUUAUCAUGCAGUUCGAUGGCUCAAAAGCAGAGCCAAAAAUAACCUGUCAUUGAGAAGCAAUAGUUGAUCGCCUUUCCCUAAAUCUGUCACAAUUGGCUCUUGAACUCCACUGGGGCCUCCCUUUAAUCACGGGUUCUGAGAGGACUGCCCAAAAUUAAGAGGAAGAGGAGCUCAGAGGCAAUCCCCAUCAUGGAAAUUGAGCCAGAAUGCGAGUACGAUGUGUUUUUGAGUUUUAGGGGACCGGACACACGCCUAACCUUUGUUGAUUGCCUCUACCGCAGCAUGAAAGGGGCAGGAAUCCAUGUUUUUAGGGACAAUGAAGAACUCCGAGUUGGUGAACAAAUCAGUGGAGCACUUUUGAAGGCACUUAAUAAGUCUCAAAUCUACGUACCCAUAUUCUCUUUGAACUUUGCCUCCAGUUCAUGGUGUCUUCGUGAAGUUGCCCACAUGGUUGAAUUAACCUCAAAAUCAAAUGGGAAGAAAGAGAUCCUCCCCAUUUUCUAUGACGUGGAGACUGAUGAUGUGAAACUCAAAACCAAAUUGUAUAGAAAAGCCAUACGCAAGCAUAAGAAGAAGUUUGGCUCCAAUGAAUUGAAGCGGUGGAAAAGUGCCCUUGUAGAGGUUCCAAGUACGAAGGGAUGGGAUCUUAAAGGCAAAGGGUAAAUCUCCUCAACUUUUUAUGUUUAAAAUUUAAAUUUCAAUGGAUGAACGUUUGUCCCUUGAAAUUUCUA